rnacentral:rRNA from 1 species
AGAGUUUGAUCAUGGCUCAGAAUGAACGCUGGCGGCGUGCUUAACACAUGCAAGUCGCACGAGAACGUUUCAGCUUGCUGAAACUAGUAAAGUGGCGCACGGGUGAGUAACGCGUGGGUAAUCUACCUCCGAAUUGGGGAUAACAUUGCGAAAGCGAUGCUAAUACCGAAUGACAUCUCAAUAACUCCGGUCUUUGAGAUCAAAGGUGGCCUCUCCAUGGAAGCUACUGUUUGGAGAUGAGCCCGCGUACCAUUAGCUUGUUGGUAGGGUAAUGGCCUACCAAGGCGACGAUGGUUAGCUGGUCUGAGAGGAUGAUCAGCCACACUGGAACUGACACACGGUCCAGACUCCUACGGGAGGCAGCAGUGAGGAAUUUUGCGCAAUGGGGGAAACCCUGACGCAGCAACGCCGCGUGAGUGAUGAAGGCUUUCGGGUCGUAAAGCUCUGUCAAGUGAGAAGAACCUGCUCUUUGCUAAUAUCACUGGGCACUGACGGUAUCACUGAAGGAAGCACCGGCUAACUCCGUGCCAGCAGCCGCGGUAAUACGGAGGGUGCAAGCGUUAUUCGGAAUCACUGGGCGUAAAGAGCGCGUAGGCGGUUUCUAAAGUCANAUGUGAAAGCCCGGGGCUCAACCCCGGAAGUGCAUUUGAAACUUAGGGACUUGAGUAUGGGAGANGGAAGUGGAAUUCCUGGUGUAGCGGUGAAAUGCGUAGAUAUCNNAGGAACACCGGUGGCGANNNNACUUCCUNNNCAAUACUGACNCUGAGGCNCGAAGGCNUGGGGAGCAAACNGGAUUANAUACCCUGG